GUCUCUGUAGCGCAAUAGAUAGCGCGUUGGACUUCUAAUCGAAUGGUCGUGGGUUUCAAAUAUCAUCUGGGAUG